GAAAAUCUCAAGUUCCUUCAAGGGAAAUUCCAGGCACUACCGGGCCCUGAGAAAACUGUUCCUGGAAGAUUUCCCUUCUGUCUGACGGAAAUCUUCCCACGCUGUCUUUCCAAACUCCUACUUAAUGCUUUGAAUUCAGAUUGCUGAGCCUCUGAGCACAACAGACAGCACUGGGGUUGGAGGUGGGGAUCCACUCUGGAACUUUCCAUCCAGAAAACCUCAGAUGUCUUCCUCACUCCUGUGUUUGGAACUGAUAGCUUGAAGGCAGUUCCUCUGAAAGCAAGGACUUCAGUGUAUUUUUUGGACUGGGAUGGAAACCUUACGGUGGUAGGCCUCACCAUGGAAGGCCACAUGGUGGGGGUUGUAAACCUGUACUGCCUAAGGCAUGUCCCGCUUGGGCUGCCAUGCAUGUCCUCUGGGAUUGUGCUUUGUGUCUGUGUGUACCUGACUGUCAUGACACUGUCUCAGCCCAGGAAGGUGAUCAGGUCCACUUUACUUUCCUGGCCUCAGCUGUGAUGUGCCACCAGGUUAAAAGUUUAAUAUAGACAUGUACGGAGGAAGCUCUCUGGACUUCUAAGAUAGACCUUUAUAAUUAAUCAGAUUUGUUUAAGCUGGCUAAAUUCAGGAUCCUUAAAAGAGGAUAAAUACUGAAUGUAUUGGAAAAAACUGAGAUCAAUACUGACAGAGAUCCUAGAAAUAAUAAUUUUACUAUAAAGUUGCCUUGCUAAGGACUAAGGGGAUGGACCAUGCAGAGUUAGCAUGGCAAGUUUGAAACUGUUAUCUUUAGAAAGACUUGCUUGCAAGGUUGGCCCUUGGCUAACAUCAGGGAACUUGGAUUUUUAAGUUUUCUAGCUAUUCUAUAAAUGAUAUGGGUGGCUUACUAUGCUAAGACUGUUUAUGCAAAUGAUGGAGUUUAUGCUAACACUUGCUUUCCUUCUCGAAGUCUGGAAUUUUGGUACAUGCUAG
rnacentral:lncRNA from 10 species